rnacentral:rRNA from 1 species
UGGGGAAUAUUGGACAAUGGGCGCAAGCCUGAUCCAGCAAUGCCGCGUGUGUGAAGAAGGUCUUCGGAUUGUAAAGCACUUUUGGCAGGGACGAUGAUGACGGUACCUGCAGAAUAAGCCCCGGCUAACUUCGUGCCAGCAGCCGCGGUAAUACGAAGGGGGCUAGCGUUGCUCGGAAUGACUGGGCGUAAAGGGCGCGUAGGCGGUUUAGACAGUCAGAUGUGAAAUUCCCGGGCUUAACCUGGGGGCUGCAUUUGAUACGUCUAGGCUUGAGUGAGGAAGAGGGUUGUGGAAUUCCCAGUGUAGAGGUGAAAUUCGUAGAUAUUGGGAAGAACACCGGUGGCGAAGGCGGCAACCUGGUCCUUUACUGACGCUGAGGCGCGAAAGCGUGGGGAGCAAACAGGAUUAGAUACCCCCGUAGUCC